rnacentral:rRNA from 1 species
UACAGAGGGGGCAAGCGUUAUUCGGAAUUAUUGGGCGUAAAGGCGCGUAGGCGGCCAUUCAAGUGACGGGUGAAAAGCCCUCGGCUUAACCGAGGAACUGCCUGUCAGACUGGAUGGCUUGAGACCGGGAGAGGUGAGUGGAAUUCCCAGUGUAGCGGUGAAAUGCGUAGAUAUUGGGAGGAACACCAGUGGCGAAGGCGGCUCACUGGACCGGAACUGGACGCUGAGGCGCGAAAGCGUGGGGAGCAAACAGGG